UGUUACUAGUGUAUGUUACUCUUCAUUGUGGCUAGUCUUACGCACGAUCUGCAAACGAUGUUCCUCUCCAACAGCACUAGCAUCAACUAAAAAAAGAAAAACAAAUAACCUCCUGUGUGCACGCUCACUACUGCCCCUCCACGUUGGAUCGUGCAGCCAUUGGUUGUAAUCUUGUCGUGUGUAUAGCAAUGCCGGUCAGUAAAAUACUACUAAUUGAUUUCAUAAAAAUUGCAUUCACAUGGUUAUUGCAUAGGAGCACCUAGGUGCUCCACCCCCUUACAUCUGAACCGUAUAAUGGCAUCGUGAUUACAAACUUCCGUUGUAUACCUUUUGUAUUCAGUUCUGUAUCAGCUCUUUCCUUUAAAUUGGCUGGAAACAUAUACUAGGUGGGUAUUCCAUCGCAUUAAUUGGGCCAUUAUUGUACCCUGGCCCAAUAACAAGACCCGUUCUGGACGGAGUUAUUGGGCCGCUCCCCCACGGUCCCGCGCUGGAUAAAAAUAUCUACCCCGUCUACUGUUUCUCUUCCCCACCCGAGCACUCGUCCCUGCCCGUUCCUAUCCCUUUCAGAUAUAGGCGACUCCAGGUCAAAAAAAAAAAGAUAUAGGCGACUCUGUUCUUUUCGAUUCCUCGCCAUGCGCUCCUCUGCAUCCUGAGCCCUUUCCCGCGCCAGUGAUGAACAAGCCCCGCUCUCACGGGCUGAGACUGGUGAUGAACGUCGGCGACUAGGCAAAGAUCAUUGGUGUUGAGUAUUUCCUCGUUUUUCUCUCUUUGAAAGUUUUCGUUCCUCAAAAUUUCUAAGAUUUCCUGGAACUUUUUUCCUCAGCAACUCUGACACCCAAUGGUGUUGAGAUCGUCUUUUCUUUCCUCGUAUUUCCUCUGAAAUGUUUCUCUCCUCAAAUUUUCUCUUUGAGCGUUCCUGAAUUUUUUCCCUCGACAACUCUGACACCAUGAAGUAUGCAACGGAGGCGACCACCAGCAGAAGUAGGUAACGCUGGCCACUGGGGCAGCGACUGCUUGUGGCGGCGAGCAGCGGCAGCCCGUGGCUGCAAAUCCAUGCCGCCAAUUCUCAAGGUCCUCCUCAUCGCGGGAUCCUAAUUCUAGCACCGUUCUAUACCUCUGCCUGAAGCUCAAUUGAACCUGUUAAUUUUAGUAAUCUCUGUAGCUAACUAACUGUUUUUUACGGGAAAAUCCACUGGUUAAUUGUUACAUGCCCAUCGAUCCAGAAAGUGAAAAAAAAAUGUAAGCAGGAUAUUAAGUAAACUUCCUAGAGCGGAUAAGAUGUUCUUUUUUUGACAUAUAACCAAGAAGCUGGGUAUUAAGUAAACCAAGAUUUAUCUCUGUCUGCCAAGUUCCAAGAUAUUUUUUUGACAUAUAACCAGGAUAUGGAGUAAACGAAGCUGGUUAUACUCUGACAGUUUACUUAAACCAAGAUCUCUGUCUUCCAGGAUAUCAAGUAAACCAGGAUGUUAAUGGUGUGUUCAUGGAACCAGAAUGUUAAGAAAACCAAGAAGUUGCGGUUGUAGGCAGAUUUUUAUGUACCGUGUUAGCCAAAUCUUUAUGUAUCGUGUAUAAGUUUCUUCUCAGAUGUUAUCAAACAUUUGUCUCUACAAUUAUCCAAGUGGUGCUCGAAUGAACCGACUCUCGUCAGUCGUAAACGAGAUGCAUUGUUCAGCGGAUUUAGUGAAUCUCUUAAACUGAAAUUAAAAUCAAGGUGAGGCUUCCUUUUUAUUCAUUGCCAUUCAUUGUGACUUGCAACACCCGAUGCUGAAUUUGAAUUGUUUAGAUCCCGGUUCGAACAGCAGUCUACACCACACGUAAUAAACUGUUCGUCCGACAUGUUCGGCAUUUAUGAUCCUCUUGGACCCCACAGCUUGUAGUAAGCCAGCGUAUUGACUCUGCAUUGCUUCAGGUUGAAAUCAUUUCCUAUUAAAUGUUCUGAUCAGGGCAAAGGACAGGUGAGGAUUUGGGUGGGCGGAGCACCUCGGAGCCAAAAAUCCGCGUCCCAUUCAUAUUGGCUAUAUGGAGAAUCAAUACACAAUCCUCUAAAAAUAAGAAAAUCCAGAUGGUGGAUCUAUACUUCUCGUGUUGCAACUUUAUCUACAUCUAUAUCUAUAUCUAUAUCUAUACUAUUAUUAAAAGAGCAAACAUAAAUUUCCCUAAAGCCACACAACAAACCGUACACAGGAUAACCAGGACCUUCUGAUCAGAUUAACUUAAAUACAUCCCACGGUCUAUAUUACGCCAAAGAUUUGUCAUUCAGAUCAACGUCUCGGAUGCAAUGUUCUGCCGAGCAGACGCCGUCGUCUGCCAAUCGUGGGAGCGCUUCGCGUCACCCAAUCCCGGCGGCCUCGCCCGCAGCUCCUGUUUUUUGGAUCGUGACUUCUUUCUCUAGGCGCCAGAUAGAGAAACUUGAGCGCUCCUUCCUUCCCCUCCUGCCGUGCGCUUCCCACUGAUCCGCCCCCACGUCGACCCCGUCUCCGGUCGAUGCCCGUGCCCCUGCAAGCCGCCGCCGACCUCCUAUGCCGAACGCCAUGGCCAUGGACCAAAGCUCCGCUGGUCCCUCCCUCGCGACUGCCAGUCUUCCUCCCGACCAGAUCGACGACGGCGAUGACCGGAUCUGCCCCGCUGCCGUUCGUUUCCAAGGGACGUCCGCAGAUGGGGUUUCUUCCUCUCAGCGUCCACCACCUGCGGGCUCACCGGUGAUUGGACCUGCUCAGCAUGCAGGAUUGCGUGCUUCCUGGCGAGGUGGUCGUGUCUUGCCUGACGCGCCCUCGGCAGUCGAGUCUUUUUCCACGGUGCCCCAUCCUCCAGUAGCUCUGUCGCCAUUUGCACCACCGUGCGCCACUGCCCGCUCGCGUGAACCAUCCAGGUGGGUAGGUUUGCUUCUGAUCUUAAAAUUUUCCCCAUUCAAAUUUUCCUUGAUUUUGUUCAGAUUGAAAUUUGGGCUGUGUUUCGUUGGAAGGCCCGAUUUCACCUGCCGAGAGCUGUUGAUAUCUCAGUUUAAAGCUCAUAUCUAUUAGGUUCGAAACUGAAUUUUAUCAUAGGAAGUUUUGUGUGUUCGUAAGCCUACAACACCCGUUGCAUUUUCUUCAGCAUGACCAACAACUGCACCUCUGAAGUUAACCAUGGCCAGCUACCCAAUAUAUCGUCCAGAUGCUAGAGGGAUAGCGUCACCGCUGCGCACGAUUUUGAGGUGGCCAAUUAGCAGUUGUUGGAUGGCAUCUGGUCGGCAAGCACCUUCCCUCAAGUUUCCGCCUCGCUUAGCAUCCGCCCACUUCCCCAGCCAACCCAGCCGCCCCCUCCAUGCCGAACCCUGUGCUGGUGGUGGACAAAGUUUGCAAGAGGAACUUGAUUUUUUAGCUUUAUUUGUUUCUUAUACAGGUGAUGCUUUUCUAUAUUAUGGAUGGAUUCUUGAUAGCCAUCAUAGAUUACUGCCAAGUAGAUAAUUGAAUAUUAAAUAAGUAAAAAUUCUGCACAAUGUAGUACUGAUAACAUGGUGUUAGUUCCUAUGUUUUUUUUGCUUAAAGCCUAUAUUAGUCGAAUUUAAUUGGUUUUUACAGUUACACCCACAGAUUACAGCAUUAAAUGAGUUCGAUUUGUGGCAGAAUCAAUGUUGUUCGUUGUUCUGUUCCAUGAUUCCUAGCAGUUUUUUGUUUCAUCAUAGGUGGUCACAUUCAGAUUCAGAUUUUUAUAAUUACAUUCAGAUUUUUUUUACUUAAUGAUGAUAUGUGUAGCCAUCCUCCCCGGCGCUGCAAUCUGUGAGUAUGUUGGUGCAUUGCCGAGGACUGGAGGUACUAAUAUUUCACUUCAAGCUUUUAUUUCUUACGCAUCAUUUGUCUCAUUGCUCGGUUUCUUAGUUUGUCUCUGAAAAAAUGGGUGUUUGUAAAUGAUUUGUUUCCACUCUUGUAGAGAAAAGGUCAGGGUCUGAUAUGCAUAUGCCAUCACUUCAUGUUGAGAACAAUUCCGAGGCACCAUCGGCACCGGAGUACUGCAUCGAUGCUGGAUCUGUUGGAAGUUUCGCAAGGUUCAUAAACCACAGCUGCAACCCUAACCUCUUUGCCCAGUGUGUCCUAACCAAUCACCACGACAUCAAGCUAGAAAAGGUGAUGCUUUUUGCUGCCGACACGGUACUUCCACUUCAGGUGAAUUGAUUUUUGUUGCAUCUCAACAAUUUCUACAGGAAAAACUAUAUAGCUUCUCUCCUGCAGUCACGCUAAUUAUUAGCGAAAGAAGCGCGUUAUUUUUGUGUGUAGGGUAGACGGCAUGCUGGACACGCUAAGUAUAGUUAGUAAAUGAAGUUUGUCUGGGUGACAUGCCUGUGGGUCACGAUGGCAUGACAUUUUGUGAACAACUGGUUCAUAUAAGUUGAUGGAAGAUUUAAUCGAUCUUUAGACAUUUACAUGGUCAGCAUCCUGCUUUUGAUGUACCUCUGUUCAUAUUUCAGCAUAUUUGUUCUUUUUAUUACCAGGUAGCACCUAACGUCGACAACUGCGAUGUCAGGAACUCCCUCACAAUUGCCGAAUAUGUCGCUGAAAUUACAACUUCUACAAACAGACCAAGGAGUUGAGUUGUGAGGCCCCCACCUACAUGACACACCAAACUGAUAUCAAUGAGAAAAGGCGUAGUAUUCCCAUUGACUGGUUGACUGAGGUGCAAUACAAGCUUGAGCUACUAGGUGAAACACUAUUCCUUUCAGUCAACAUCAUUGAUAGAUCAAUGCAUAGAAAAACAUGUCUCGAGUUUUCUCUUGAAUGAAACCUGCAAGUUUCUCAACUAUUUAGUGAAGCUUACCUUGAAAAGAACUAUAAAUACUACAGGAAGGAGAGCAAGACAAUGACAGUUCGUUGGAAUAUGGAUUUUUAGAGGAUAUUUAUGGGUUCAAACCUCUGUAAUUACAUAUUACUUUCCUUGCUGAUGCUAUUGCUCAUGUUAUAAAACUGUCCUACUUCGCACACAUGG